GAAACCGCUUCUCCAGCCCCCUGAUGAAAAUGGCAGGCCACUGGGGGUAGGCUUUUCUGCUUUCAAGUGUCCUUGGAGCCUUCAGCACCUGUGUCUCCUCUGAAGCCCUGACACCUCUCUGUGUGGCACCACUGAGCCUCAUUACUGCUGCCUCCUUGAUCUGAAAACUUAAUGCUUGAGCCUCUUCUCAAUAGGAAUUUAACCUAUGCUCUCUGAAGGAAAGUUUUGCUGAGAAAAUAGAGGGUCAUGAAGAAGGUCAAUGAUCUUCACUCCUCACCAGAAUCCAGCUGUCCUUCAGGCUUUCUGUAUCGCGUCAGCUGCAUCGUCAGUUAGGGUAGAGUUAUCUCUAGCUUUGAAUAAACACCCAGCCAGGUUCCUCUUAGAAACACCUUGUCACAGCUUACUUUGGGUUCACCACUGGGCUUCUUGAAGAUAGCUUGAUUAAUUCAUAGUGGCAGCCCCACCACCCAGUCACCUGAAACGAGAGGAUUUACUGUACCAGUUUACCGCUAAGCCAUGUCAGGUGAGAAGCGGGAAACUCUAGCCCAUCUGUUGCAAGGAACAAAAUAACAACGGCACAUCCACAGAGCAGACACUUUAUACUGCUGCAUAAUAAGGAGCCGCUGAAUGCAGUGACCUCGGCUGAGGUAGCCAUGGGUUCAGCCACCCACUCUCUGCUUCUCUGGGGAGCUAGCCUGCUUAGAUUUGUGGCUUUCUGUCCCCUGAGGAGAACCCUGGAGGGUCGGGGCCCCUGAACUUCAACAUUGCUCCUGUCCUGGCCACUCUCAGACUUUCUCUUCCAGCUUCGGCUGCAUUCAUAAUUUUCUAACUAUCUUUAUGCCACAGCAAAUGUUCCUAGGCAGAAUGUCCAGACUCAUGGGGACCCUUCUCAUCAGCCAGUCCCAUCAGCCUAGAAUUUCCCAGAUCAGUUGUAUGGGCCUUGUCAUAACAACCCGUCACCUUGGAGGACAGGGAGAAUUGAAGGCCUAGGACAGAGCCAGGUGGCUCUCCUGGUGGUUUUCCAUGACGAUGAAGGACUGGCCUUUUGCUUUGCUCAGGAGUGAGCUGACAGCUCUUUUUGAUUUGAAGCUUCCGUUCAGAACUCAGCAGGGGUUCUCCGUCCUCGCAACACUCUAGUUAGGCAAUUGCUCAUAAACUCUUCUCCAGCCCGGACAGGCCACUCAAAUCAAGUAGCAACAGAACCUUCCAAGAGAAGCCUUUGAAGACAGACUGUUGAGGCUGGCCGUCGAUGUGUGAGGCCAGGACAGACCUGUGAUGAACUUCUUUCCCAUGAUGCCCUGCUGCCGAGGCCCGCUCUGCCAAUCUGCCAGCCUCCUCGCAGGGAAACUCCGUCAGAAACAAGGAAAACGUGAGAAACUGUCACAGCCAAGACGAGGCUGAGGAGACAACAAUGAAAAGCAAUGUGCCUGGAUGGGCUCCUGGAACAGAAGAAGGGCAUUAAGUAAAAACUAGUGAAAUCUGAGUCACGUGUGGAGUUCAGUUAAUAAUCUAUCAAUAUUGAUUCAUUAGUUGUGAUUCAUUAACAUGGCAACAUAACAAUGGGAGAAACUGGUUGCUGGGCACACAGAAACUCUUUACUACCUGGCAACUUUUCAUUAAAUCUAAAACUAUUCUAGAACAUACAGCUUAUUUAAAAUACAGGUGUACAGAUGUAUAGACAGUGGCGGCCGGCCUUGCGAGAAGCAGGCCCUGG
ensembl:lncRNA